CCUUGACAUACUAAGAACUUUCCAGAGAUGGAUUGGUGCCUUCGGGAACUUAGAUACAGGUGCUGCAUGGCUGUCGUCAGCUCGUGUCGUGAGAUGUUGGGUUAAGUCCCGNAACGAGCGCAACCCUUUUCCUUAUUUGCCAGCGGGUCAUGCCGGGAACUUUAAGGAUACUGCCAGUGACAAACUGGAGGAAGGCGGGGACGACGUCAAGUCAUCAUGGCCCUUACGGCCAGGGCUACAUACGUGCUACAAUGGUCGGUACAAAGGGUUGCUACCUCGCGAGAGGAUGCUAAUCUCAAAAAGCCGAUCGUAGUCCGGAUCGCAGUCUGCAACUCGACUGCGUGAAGUCGGAAUCGCUAGUAAUCGCGGAUCAGAAUGCCGCGGUGAAUACGUUCCCGGGCCUUGUACACACCGCCCGUCACACCAUGGGAGUUUGUUGCACCAGAAGUAGGUAGUCUAACCGCAAGGAGGACGCUUACCACGGUGUGGCCGAUGACUGGGGUGAAGUCGUAACAAGGUAGGCGUAGAUGA
rnacentral:rRNA from 1 species